ACGGGAGGCAGCAGUGGGGAAUAUUGGGCAAUGGGGGAAACCCUGACCCAGCAACGCCGCGUGAAGGAAGAAGGCCUUCGGGUUGUAAACUUCUUUUACCAGGGACGAUAAUGACGGUACCUGGAGAAAGAGCAACGGCUAACUACGUGCCAGCAGCCGCGGUAAUACGUAGGUUGCAAGCGUUGUCCGGAUUUACUGGGUGUAAAGGGCGUGUAGGCGGAGCUGCAAGUCAGAUGUGAAAUCCCGGGGCUCAACCCCGGAACUGCAUUUGAAACUGUAGCCCUUGAGUGUCGGAGAGGCAAGCGGAAUUCCUAGUGUAGCGGUGAAAUGCGUAGAUAUUAGGAGGAACACCAGUGGCGAAGGCGGCUUGCUGGACGACAACUGACGCUGAGGCGCGAAAGCGUGGGGAGCAAACAGGAUUAGAUACCCUGGUA
rnacentral:rRNA from 1 species